rnacentral:piRNA from 1 species
UCCACAACAGCAUUGCCUAUAGACAAC